AGCGGCGAGCGACGGCUGGCAGACAACCUACCCACUCCCAGCCCCGCGCCCACCUCAGGAGCGUCUCGAGCGCGCCCUCGUGCUUGUCCAGCGGACGACCGACUGCGGCGCGGCGCAGCUUGCUGAGCUCCUCCGCCGCGCGGCAGUACUGGGCCUGCUCUUCCCCGCCGCUUGGUGGUGUACUGAGCACUUUCACGUAAGAGUAUUCCUCCACUCGAACAACCCCCCGGAGAAGUACUGGUGUCACUGCCACCUGCGAGAGUUUGCGGCUACCUCCCCAAGAGGCAGUCCCAGGGUUAUUGUGACCUAUGAUGUUUAUUCAACUACUGUUGACGGGCUGCUGUGCACAGGGAACCUAGUAGGCAAGACCCCUGCCAUCGUGCAGCUUACUGUCAGGUUGACACAGACCUUAAGAAAGAACAAAAUUUUAAAUAAAUUAAAAACGACACCUGUAAUUUGAGAAGAUGCUUGAUAUCAGAAGAGGAGAAGAGUGGAGAGGGGUGGAGUGGCAAAGGAGAGCCUCCAAACCAAAAGCCUGCGGCAGAGGCCCUAGGAGGCAAGCACUUAACCAUGUUUCAGGACUAGAAACGAAACAUGUGACAAGACCUUUAAAAACAAAUAGAAUGGGAUGGAAUAAAGUUGGAUGAGUAAGCAGGCAUCAAAUCAUUCAGAAACUUGUUGUCCAAGUUGAAGAAUUUGUUUAGUAUUGUAUAAUAAAUGCAGAGGAAGCUAUAUACACUUAUAAUUUACAUUUUUUAAAGGCCACGUUGUAGCUCAAUCGGAUAGUUUGUCUUUUGAUGGGAUGUAGUAUACAGUAUCAUCAUGGUAUAUUCCAGGCAAAAAUAUUUAACUUGAAUCUGUCAAGCCUUUGCAUCUAACACAGUUUAUAAAAAAUACAACAGAUAGAUGAACAAACUAAAUGAUGCCAGAGGAAGUAACUAGACAGAUCCAGAAGGUGAAACAUUCUGCAGGAUAACUGGCCCAUCUCUUCAACAAUUUGUCAUGAUAAAAGCAACUGCUUUAUGAAAAGAAAUUUAAGGGACAUAACAGUUUGAAUUGGAUCCUGGUUUGAACAGACUGUCUAUAAAAUGCAUUUUCAGGACCAUUAAAGAAAUAUGAAUGUAGAUGGACUGAGUAUUGGAUAAAAUAGAACUGUAUUGCCAUGGAAAAGAUCAUUAACUGAAAAGAGCAAGUCACGAAAUAGUAUGUUACAGCAUCUCAUUUUGGUUUAAAAAUGCACAUAUAUGUAUUUAUGUACAACUAAAAAAAUAGUGGGCUUAUACCCUAAGGUGUUAGUAUUGGUAAUCUUUGGAAGUGGAAAUGUGUAUUUUUUUCUUUGUGUUUGCCUAUCUUUUUCAUUGUAACUUUUGCAGCACAUAGACUACUUUCAUUAUAGUAAAAGUUUAUUUUACCACAAUUUUUUUUUUUUUAGAAAGAGUCUCACUCUGUCACCCAGGCUGGAGUGCAGUGGCACAAUCUCAGCCCACUGCAACCUCCACCUCCCAGGUUCAAGCUAUUCUCCUGCCUCAGCCUUCUGAGUAGCUGGGACUACAGGUGCACACCACAUGCCUGGCUAAUUUUUGUAUUUUUAAUAGAGACUGGAUUUCGCGAUGUUGGCCCGGCUGGUCUCGAACUCCUGGCCUCAAGUGAUCCACCCGCUUUAGCCUCCCAAAGUGCUGGGAUUACAGGCGUGAGCCACUGCACCCGGCCUAUUUUACCACAAUUUAUAAAAAUUUUUGUUUAUUUUAAUUAAGCUAUUCUAUGUUAAAAUAAGUAGCCACCCUUGGCUGAUGCAUAAAGAAAAAAUUAGAGGAAGGAAAGAAUGGAGGCAAGGAGGCAAAUCAUGAGACCAUUUCAGAAAUCAAGACGAAAUCAGGAAAGCUAACAUUAGCAAGAGUGAACCAAACUGAUAAUAUCUUUGAGUUUAAAACUGAAGAAUUUACCAAUGAACUGCAUAGGAAAGUAAAGAAAAGAGAGUGGUCAAGAUAGGUCCUGGUUUUGGGGCCUGAACAUCUGAGUGGUUAGUAGAAUCAUUACCAGUUGAUAACCCAUGGAAGAGGGUGGGGGAUGGGUGGUGUCUUGUAGGUUGGUUGACAGGACUGACCCAUUGGGAAGAUAACGAAGAAGCAAAGUAUAUGAAAAGAGGAGAAAGGGUAACCAGAGGAGGGAGGAUACAAAGGGAGUGAUUAGCCAUCAGAAAGAUGAGGGACAUGACAUUUGUUGAGGCAGAUGGCGGAGAAAAGAAAGUUAACAUGAUGAUCUUUCUCUGCAACUUCAUAUUUUGCCUCUUGUUCCUCAUUUGUUACCACUGAGUCACAAUGGUCUUUUUAGUUUCUCAAACACACCAAGAUCUUUCUUGCCUCAUGUGACCUAGAAUGUUUUCUCCCUUUCUUCAUAUCUCAGUUGAAAGGUCUCCUCUCCUCAUCAUCAUACUAUCUAAAGUAGAUUCCCUCCCUUGUUAACCUCUAGCGCAGCCAUUAGUUCCUUCAUAACACUUACCCUAACUUGCAAGUAUUUUGUUUGUUGAUAUAAUUUUUAUCUGACUUCCCCACUAAAAUGUAAGCUCCAUGAGGGCAAAAAUUGUGUGUUUUGUAUACUGAUGCAUCUCUAGCACUUGGUAUAGCAGGCAUUCAAUAAAUAUCAUUAAAUAAGUUUCACCCUUGUAAAAAAAAAAAAUAUAUAUAUAUAAAAUAUAUUCUCUACUUCCAAAAUAACACACUUUCACCAACAACAAGCACUCCAGCUAAUUAGGCAAUAGGCCAAUAAGCAAAGAAUUAUGGUAUAUUAGUCAAGAUUGGCUAGCUUAUGUUCUGACAAUAAACAAUUUCAAAAUCUCAGUUUCAAUUUUAAACUCAAAGAUACUAAUAAACAUUUGUUCUUUGCUCACACAAAGUCUAAUAUGGAACAGGCUUAGAGUUGUCCUCCAACCAGUGUCUGAGCAAUCCAGACCACUUUGAUCUUGUAACUCUGCCAUCCCAACAUGAGAUUCCACUUUCACUGCAGAAGAGGAAAUCUGUAGCAUCAUGCAGCAGCUUGUCACUACCUCAGCCCUCCUACUUCCACUUGCAUUUCACUAGCUAGAACCUUUCACAUGGCUCCACCAAACUGCAAUGGGACUGGGAAGGGAGAAUCAGAUAUUAGGGAGCAUUUAUAAUGCCUUCCAAGGGUGUGUUUCACUGCUUCCAAACUUGCUUAUGAUGAUGUUUUUCAUUUAUGUAAUGAAAUGCCAUAUGUUCUUAGUGUGUAUUCUCAGCAUAACGAGUACAUUUGGAGAAUAUUAAGUCAGUGGACUUUCCUUCUUGAAAAUUCCUGGUUCUGGGCCUAUCAUUAACCCCACUGAUUGAACCAGUGGAAAUAGUUGCCUCUUCGAAUGGAGAGAACCCUGCUGAAGGCAGCUUUGAGUUUCAAAAUAGUGUGUUUCAAGUCCACAUGGAGACGAUAGCCUGAAAGUAAGCACUUAUGAUUUUUGGAGGAGUCUUUGUUAUUAAGGAGAAAAGAGGCUUACAGAAGUCAGAUUCAGAAGACUGUAGUAUUUUUACAAUAAAUGAGAGUAAACAGUAUAAGGAUUUGAUGUAAGGGAAGUUCCUGCAGUGCAAGAAAGAAAGUCCUUUUGGUGCUGAGCGGAACAGUCUAAGAGAGAAAAGGUGAAGAACAAAAGGAAAAUGUAAAUGUGGUAUUCACACUUCCCUACUCCACACUCAGGAUAAACCUAGAGUAUGAGGUAGAGGCGGGAAUCUAGAGGGGAGGAAGCAUAGAAUAGGAACACCCAAAUAGACUUGAUGAAACAAAAAACAUCAAGGAUGGCUCCCGUGUCACCUGGGAAGACACACUUCAUGUAAGGAAUGGAAAAAAGGCAAUGGUAAGGGACAGGGGCCCUGGAUUUUUUACAACAUGCGAUAGAGAACUAUUUGUCUCCUUAAUUUAUUUAACUUUAAAAAAUAAUAAUGAAUGAAAGAAAAAUUACCCAUUUUUCAAAUAUGGGUGUGUAAGUUUUUUCCACUUUGUACAAAAAAUUUUAAAGAAACGAAAACUGCUGAACACCUUAUAUUCAGAAUUACUCCCUGUAUAAGCCCAUUCCAAUUCCAUAUACUGCUGAUUAAAUUUCCAUCAGUUGGCAGUUCUCUAAUAUCAGUUUCACUGCUAUUUAACUAACUACUGCCCUUUGCUACCAGUGUCUCUCUUGGAUGAGAGUCACUUUACUUGAAUAAGAUAACUUCUGAGAAUAAAUCUAUGCACUAUUUUGGAAGAAUUGCUCUAUAGAGUAAAAAAUAAUUCUGGAUAAUUGAAAGUUAUCUUGUGAGUAUCUGGACAUUAAGGAUACAUUUCAAGACUCCUGUUUUCACUAAAAUCCAAUAUUUGUUUAAGCACUUCAAGUUAAAGAGGAGCACCUUCCCCUUUCACCCUGACUAUCGUUGUUAAUUCGUUUUUGAAGCUAUAUAAGAACGUUUCUUUAAUCGGUUUUCCCUUAGGCAUACAUUAGCUCUCUGUUCAAGACUUAGUAGCAGAGAGUAGUAAGUAAAUGGUUAUUAGUGGUUCUUCAUAUAAAACACAUUUGAGUUUCUUAGAAGAAAACUAUGCAUAAAGAUUACUUUCAGAUAUCAUGUCUGUAGUUCGUUAAUAGAGAAGUUUCUCUGAACGUGUGGAACACUGUAAUAAGAUAAAUAAAUUUUUAAAAAGAAAAAGUAAGCAUAUAUACAAAAUGUAUGUAAUUUCAUUUGUCUUCACUUAUUUAAUAUUUAUAACCAU
rnacentral:lncRNA from 1 species